UUGAGUUGCUGUUCGAUUUGUUUGUAUCUCGUUUUUUUUCGUUUUGUAAAUUCAUAUGCUGUUAAUGAACUUGGGAAGAAGAAAAUGCGGCUCGAGUAGUUGGAAUAUUUGCGUUGAAGGUGCUCGAAACACAUUUGAAAUUAAUUAAAAAGCUGUCAAGAGCAGAUGGAGGCGUUCACAACUACCAUGCUGCCUGUCGGAGUGGAGUUUUAUGCUCUGCAUGGAGUUCAACUCGAAUUGGGGGAGUUCGUGUUCAUGUGUUGAAGCCAUAGCAAAUUACACGUAUUACGUAUACGCGGCGCAUUACGUAUACGCAUUGUGUGGUAGCAAAAGAAAAGGCAGGCGCCGGAAAUUACCAGUUCCUUUAUCAAGGAAACCUUUUAAAACGCAUAAUAACGAAAAUUUGAAAGAGAUAAAAGACGUACGUGGGCCGGCAACGGAAAUGAUUAUAUCUCCUUGGCAUGGCCCAAGCACAAGCACAAGCACCGAAUUGGAGUUUGAGAGCAGGUGACGCAGCAGCUGAAGCACGAAAUGGAGGCUGGCCAUUGUUGGCAACGUUGUUGUCAUUGCGGCGGCCAUUGUUCCAUUGCCAUUUCCAGUGCAAUUUUCAUUUGGCCGUUGU